AAAAAAGCAGGAUGCUGUGUUCUCUAUAAGCAGUGUCCUCGUAAAUUUUAGGAACAUGUUUCAUCGUUAUUGGGUGAACCGUUGGGCUAUUCAAUGUCCAUUGGUUCAGUAAAUGAUGGCACAUUU
rfam:Oryza barthii chromosome 9, whole genome shotgun sequence.